UUUCCUGCGGACCUUCCCAUCGCGGGCAGUGGUCUUGCAAGCACGGUCCCGGAGCCUCAGCAUCAGCACCGCGAGGAGCCUGCUAGAAACGUAAGUUCUUGGGCCCUGGCUCUCCAGACCUACUGCCUCAGAAAUUCUGGGGGACCUUCCAACAGGUGCUCAAGUUCAAGAACCACUCCCUCAUGUAAUGGCUCUGAAGAUGUAUAAGUAAGACGUAAACGCCACUAGAGCAGGGACCAUGUCUGCCUUAUGGACUGUGUUCCGCCAAAAUCCAGAAUGCCUGGCCUGGAGGAAGAACCCACUUUCAGCGCAGAUUUCCUCUUCUGAAAGCCCGCCCUUGAGUCUCCAGGUUUGGGUGAAGCGCCAGCUGAAUGACAAGGGUGCCUUCACAGCCCACGCCUGCUGAGGCCCAUCAGGCCCACCUGGGGGCGGGAGCUGGCCCUUGAGUCCACAUUUGUUACAAGUGACACCCUGCGGCGAGUAGGCAGAGUAAGGCCCCACCCUUACAGCAGAGCACACACCUGUCACUGCUCAGAAACAAUGACCCCAAGGGCAGUUAAAACAUGAAGGCCACCGUCCAAACUGCCGUUAAUGAAGAUGUAAGAUUCAGAGACUGAAAGGGUGAAUGUUUGUUUUUUAAUCAGAUCCUCCUCCACCAAGUAUCAAACCAUGCCCACACCCUGACCAGGAUGGGCACGCCUCGGAAUCUUGUGGCUUCGGUGU